CAAUUCAUAAAAAGCUAUGAGGACGACCCAUAGCUCAAUAGAUGGCAUUUGUGUCAAAACUACGUUAUAAUUUCUAUUGUUUCUCAAUCUACAAAUGUUUAUUAUUUUCAUGUUACACCGUUAUUUGUUUAACUUUUAAUUACUCUAACUUAUGAAUUUAAUUUUUGUAAUUGCGGUUGAUCUGUGUGUUACUGAUUUAAAGAUGUCACCUAUUAAUUUUAUGUGUCAUGUUGGAACAAAAUUUUUGCCAAUUCUGCAAACCUUUUCUCGAUAUUCAAUGAGGUGUGAUAUUAAAGGUACUUACAUUGGUACAUAAACGGGAUAAUGUUGUGAUUCAGCUCUUGGAGGAGAUCCUCGACAUCUUGGAAUGUAAAUUGGAAUUGGAAUGACCUGUUGCUGUUUGGAACGACGAUUUUGAAGUAUUUUCAGCAAUAAUAAUUCCAUUUCCAUAUCUUUCCUGCCCAUGAAGCCAUCAACUCUGAUAAAAGAUUCGGAUAAGAAUAGGACUAUAAGCACAGUGGCAGUGAAGGGUUUACAAGAUGAUUUAUGGCUAAUCAUCAUGGCAUUUGGACACAGAAAAAAAAGAGUAUUGUGAUAACUUGUUAUCUUUGAAAGUGACAAACAAACCUGGCAACAAUUAUGAAUGUAAAAGGAGAAGAGUCAAUUUGAAUGACGAUUUUAUGCAAAAGACGUCAGUUAUGCUCGGCUUGGUGCUCCCGAAGCUUAUCAUUAAGCCCUUUGAAGACACUUUAAAAUACUAUGUUUAUUGGGUAAAUCAUUAUUCAUUCAACCAUUUCCCAGCCUGAUUUGGUUAAUUAGUUGAAUUGUUUUUGCAACAAUUUAUUUCAAAUCUUGAAGUGAAAGUAUUUUUAACUCGUGUGAAACGGAAAUACCUUUUUACCAAUUUUUUAUUGUUUCCUAAUUUUUGCUAAAUUGUUAUUUAAAACAACUCUUUACUGUCUCAACUAUUCAUAAUGUUUGAUGCUAAUUUUGGUAACAAAACAACUCUCCCUUGCGUUAAUAAUUGUAAUGAUUAUUACGAUACAUGAUUAGGUUUCGAGAAAAAUAUUAUUAUCCAAUCAAUAUUCAAUCAUCAUUACCUCAAAACUAAUUAGUUUACAAGUAUAGCCAUAUAGUACGUGAUGAAUGUGUUCUUAACAUUGGUAAAGCCAUCACAAAUCAAAGUCGCUUACAUCGAUGGAUUAAAGCGUCAAAACUCUGGAUUGUCGCUUUUUUGUUCAAACAAGCUUCAAGAUUGGUCUCUACAGUUGGUAAUUUGCUUCAACACCACAACAAUUCUGAUAAUUAACGCCAUGAGCAAUUGCAGAUGGUUGCCUCGUCUAGUACAACAACAUUGAAUCUUGAUCGGUAAUCAAUGCUGUUUUCCUUGGUAAUACCGAAAUUUAAAAUCAAGGUUUAAUUAUAUCCCGUGAUUAACACUGCGAUCCAAAAUGAAACUAAGGCCUCAGAUUGACUCAGCUAUAAUCAAGCCAAUAAUAAUUGUUCAUUUCUUUUCACCAUUUUUGGAACCAAAUUUGCACAAAAUAAUCUUCAUUUCUCUCUAUUUAACACUGAUUUUCCACUUUCACUGGUUGAUGGAUUAUAUGCGCUUCUUAAUAUUGAUCAGUUGGGAAUCGUAUAAUUACUUUGACUGCGAUGGCGAAGCAAAAAGAAACUUGAAGUUCGACUGAUUUGACAGAAAUUAACAGCAUUUUGAUUUAUAUCGUAUCAUUUAUUACAUUUAUUUUUACACCUUAAACAUGCAGUUGAGAGGGACUCACAAGUUACUUUGUUAGCUUGAACUUGAUUCGUUACCAAAAAAAGAUUGAACUCAAAAAGCAGACAUUUUUCCGCAGAAAGCCAUGAUGCAAUCUCAGGCUCAUCUUGAUAGUAAUUUCAUCAUAAUUAAUAAUCUUAUAAUUUAAUUUAUGAACUAGUUUUGUUGAAUCGCCUAAAAUGUUGAACCCACCAAUGGAGCUUAAUUUUGCAUUUUGCUAAUUACUCUUUUGGCUCUUUCACCAUGAUGAAACUCGCUAGAUUCAAUUAAAUCUUUCAAUUCUCAAGCUGUAAUGUAAUUCUUGAAAAAGAAUGUGUAAAUAAAUGAUUUUAAAAAUGAUUAUCAAGUCAAAGUUAAAUGUUUAACAUUGACGUAAACUGAUUUUCAUUGUCAUGCCCUCAAUUUUGUCUCAAUUUACAUGUAACCUUAGUUAAUUUGAACCUGUUUUUAAAGGUUACAUGUUUUAACUUUACACCUUUCCAGUUAAUUUGCAUUAUGUUUCAACAAAUUGUAAAUUACCUUAAACAAUUAGAGAUAAAUGUAAAUAAUAAACACUAA